UACGGGGGGAGCAAGCGUUGUUCGGAUUUACUGGGCGUAAAGGGCGCGUAGGCGGUCAGCACAAGUCAGUUGUGAAAUCUCCGGGCUUAACUCGGAAAGGUCAACUGAUACUGUGCGACUAGAGUGCAGAAGGGGCAACUGGAAUUCUCGGUGUAGCGGUGAAAUGCGUAGAUAUCUGGAGGAACACCGGUGGCGAAGGCGGCAUCCUGGACCGGCAUUGACGCUGAGGCGCGAAAGCUAGGGGAGCAAACGGG
rnacentral:rRNA from 1 species